GCCCGGGUGGCGAAAUGGCAGACGCAUGGGACUUAAAAUCCUUUGAUGGAAACAUCGUGCGGGUUCGACUCCCGCCCCGGGCACCA
rnacentral:tRNA from 1 species